ensembl:processed_transcript
ACUCAGAUUGAUCAUCAAGAUCUCAAUUAUAAGCUUAAGUCUUGAUGACAACUUGAUGAUCUGCAGGAAAAACCACCAUGUAAGGAAGGCCAAGACCACUCUGGAAUCAGUCAAGGGUGAAAUGGAGUGAGGCAUACAAGGAUAUGUGUGGUUUUACUCUUGGGAAGGAGGUUGAACAGUGCAAUAUUUCUUCUAUAGGAUUGCAGUGACCAGACAUGCUACUGUAACUCUCAUGGUCAUGUGCUGGAAUUAGCAGAUAUUCAACAAUUUGGCCAUCUCGCUGACCUAUUGAUAUCAGAAGACCGCAACAGCUCUGCAAAGCAAGUUGCAAAACAGAAUCCAUGGAACUGGCAGUGACUGGAAACCAAUUGGAAGACUGUGGUCUGUGAUGUAGAGGAGUGGGCAGACGCAGAAGCAAAGACAACAAAAAACAGAAGUGAUAUGGAUGUCUUCAUCAUAUGGCAUGACUCUGCUGACCCAGCAACAAAGAGGAGGGUGUUCAACAUCAUCCUGCUAGUCAGGAUUCUUCAGGAGAAGCAGUGGAUUCUUGUGGCAGAGAUGGCCAACCACUAUAAAUACCUUUCAACUCAUCCUGGUUUUUUCAAAGAACUUUCCUGCUAGUUUGCUACUGAAAAGUACUG